rnacentral:rRNA from 1 species
AGGGUGUAAACGCUGCAGACUUGGUGUUGGAAGUCCUUUGGGGGCAUUCAGUGCCGGAGAGAAGUUGUUAAGUCUGCUACUUGGGGAGUACGUCCGCAAGGAUGAACUUAAAGGAAUUGGCGGGGGAGCACCGCAACGGGAGGAGCGUGCGGUUUAAUUGGACUCAACGCCGGAAACUCAUCGGGAGCGACAGCAGUAUGAUUGCCAGGUUGAUGACCUUGCUUGACAAGCUGAGAGGAGGUGCAUGGCGUAGUCGUGU